rnacentral:rRNA from 1 species
GGAUGAACGCUGGCGGCGUGCUUAAUACAUGCAAGUCGAACGGAGAGUUUUGUAGCAAUACGGAGCUUCUCAGUGGCGAACGGGCGAGUAACGAGUUGGUGACCUGCCCCGAAGUGUGGGAUAACAGUCCGAAAGGAUUGCUAAUACCGCAUGUGAUCAUUGGUCUUAGAAUCUGAUGAUUAAAGCAGUAAUGCGCUUCGGGAGGGACCUGCUUCCCAUCAGCUAGUUGGUGAGGUAACGGCCCACCAAGGCUACGACGGGUAAGGGACCUGAGAGGGCGGUCCCUCGCAAUGGCACUGAAACACGGGCCAUACACCUACGGGUGGCAGCAGUAGGGAAUAUUGGGCAAUGGGCGAAAGCCUGACCCAGCAACGCCGCGUGCACGAUGAAGGCCUUCGGGUCGUAAAGUGCUUUUCUGAGGAAUGAGUAAGGACAGUACCUCAGGAAUAAGCCUCGGCUAACUACGUGCCAGCAGCCGCGGUAAAACGUAGGAGGCGAGCGUUAUCCGGAUUUACUGGGCGUAAAGCGUGUGUAGGCGGUUCGGCAAGUUGGAUGUGAAAGCUCCUGGCUUAACUAGGAGAGGUCGUUCAAUACUACCAAACUUGAGGGCAUCAGAGGAAGGUGGAAUUCCCGGUGUAGUGGUGAAAUGCGUAGAUAUCGGGAGGAACACCAGUGGCGAAAGCGGCCUUCUGGGAUGCUCCUGACGCUCAGACACGAAAGCUAGGGUAGCGAACGGGAUUAGAGACCCCGGUAGUCCUAGCAGUAAACGAUGUAGACUUGGUGUCGGAGGUGUCAAAACCUUCGGUAUCGUAGCUAACGCGAUAAGUCUACCGCCUGGGGACUACGGCCGCAAGGUAAAACUCAAAG